rnacentral:sRNA from 1 species
ACCGCCUUGCUGCCCGCUCGCGGCACUUAACUGAUCGAGCGCCUUCGAAAUCAUGCCGGUGGUGUAAACCCGCUUCGACACAGGGUCGACCAGCCUCGCACUGACGAUCUCGAUGACCUCCUUUUCAAUCCGUUCGAGGAUAUCUCUCCGCUCACGCUCGCCAACCUGUACCUCGCCCUUGCGCAGAAUUUCCUGGAUUAUUUCAUCGCUGGACACCUUGGGGCCGAACGCCUUGGCUAGCUCUGCAGCGGGGGCUGUCUGGGCCUUGGAGACGGAGAGGAAGACUGUGGGGAUCUGAAGGACGUUGUCCAGGUCUGUUUCAGUACCCGAGCGGUAUUCGAGGAGCUUGUUCUUGUAGCAAGCUAGCUCGAAGCGUUUCUUGCCUGGGGACAGUUUGUGGUUAGAUUUAAAGGAAACAAGAAGAAGAAGAAGAAGAAGAAAAUGAUUAGGGGAAACCUUUCUUCAACCGGACGAUAGAGACAUUCGUAAAUUUAAUCUGGUUUGAGGGCUGGUUUAUGCCUACAGGCAUUUUGAACGAAGUGAGGGGUAGUUCACGAGUCGUACGUUGUUUCGAGAGGGCGGGACCUGUUUGAACGCUGAAGUAUCGAUGUAGGGGACUCUAUACAGGGCGACAACAACGAGUAUAAUGACUGGAGGGGGUAUCUAUCGAGUCGAUAAAAGAAAAUAGUUCCCAUGAAAUCGAAUACUGUCUUCGAUAUCAAAAACAUUGAAUGGAGGGGAAAACGGAAUGCAAACAGAACAAACAUGAACUUGCUCGCGCUCAACCUCUCCUGGUGAUGUCCAAUGCAGAGAGAACUAGCUAAUAGCCCAGUGUUCAAAAUAUCAGAUCUAGGUGACCCUGUUUCGAUUUGAAGGAUUCAGCGGCAGAUUUUAUCAGAUGCUCAGUAACAGAUUCGAAUGGAUUUUAAGCCAAAUGGACGUUAUUGAACUACAUAGGACAGAGGUUUCUACAUCCUAUCCAGAUGGGCGCUAUGGAUCUCCAUGUUGGAACCAGUCAAGUCAAUAUUGUUAAGCAUUACUUCAACAGGGUCCGUGGCCUAUUUCAAUGGCCUUCCUUCAAAACUGUCCUGCCCAACAUUUACAUAUUUUCAUGAUUGAAACAUGCAAGCAUUCUUUUCUCCGGC